rnacentral:lncRNA from 1 species
AAGGGCAGCAAGCAUUAAACUGCUGAGCCAUCUCUCCAAACCGUCGGCCUUCUUGGUGUUCUUUGCUGGGGCAGGGAGGUAGCAGGGAGGAAGUGGAGAGAACUGGGAGAUUUGAGACGCUCCUUCUGAGCUUUAAGCUACGUGUAGAUAAUAUCUGCAUGUGUGGCACAAUUGAAGCAGCAGUGGCUUUCAGGCUAGUUACUGCAUGGACUAGUAAGGUAGCUCUCCUGCUCUCAGCACCGUGCAUCUGAUGCUCCGUUCUCAGGGACCACCUAACGUGGUUAACCGCCCUGGCUAACGGGGACACUGCUGACAAUACACGUGGCUGUUAGUUCCUGAUUUCUGCUUAAGUGUUUCAACAGCACACUGUGGGACAAGAGUAACAGGGCCAAAGGAACACAUCUUCAACAUGUACAUAAAUUCCACCAAGUGGUUGCAUGGAAAAGCAAAAAUAAAGGAGUUAGCUACACCUGAAAGCUUCUUCCUUAUGAACAAUACACUCAGAAGAGGAUCAGCUGCUGAUCACAAGUCUGACUCAGCCAUAUCUCAUCGCUACAGCCCUUGGUCACAAGAUGUCUGACUCUAUGUCACCAGCCUAACAGAAGAUCAAAUUGUGCUGCCAAAGCACAGAACACACCCAGCGUCUUGGAUUUCAUCUGUCUUGCAUUUCCUUAAAUAUCA